rnacentral:rRNA from 1 species
UACAGGGGGUGCAAACGUUGCUCGGAAUUAUUGGGCGUAAAGCGCUUGUAGGCGGCUUGUUAAGUUCCGUGUGAAAUCCCCAGGCUUAACCUGGGAAGUGCGCGGAAAACUGGCGAGCUUGAGUGCCGGAGAGGGUCGCGGAAUUCCUGGUGUAGCGGUGAAAUGCGUAGAUAUCAGGAGGAACACCUGCGGUGUAGACAGCUUUCUGGACCAUUACUGACGCUGAGACACGAAAGCGUGGGUAGCAAACAGG